UGCAGUCGAACGGGGUCGGAACUUCGGUUCCGGCUUACGUGGCGCACGGGUGAGUAACACGUGGGAAUCUGCCCAUCUAUGGGGAAUAACUGCGGGAAACUGCAGCUAAUACCGCAUACGCCCUUCGGGGGAAAGGCUUCGGCCGUAGAUGGAUGAGCCCGCGUCCGAUUAGCUAGUUGGUGGGGUAAAAGCCUACCAAGGCGACGAUCGGUAGCUGGUCUGAGAGGAUGAUCAGCCACACUGGGACUGAGACACGGCCCAGACUCCUACGGGAGGCAGCAGUGGGGAAUAUUGGACAAUGGGCGAAAGCCUGAUCCAGCAAUGCCGCGUGAGUGAUGAAGGUCUUCGGAUUGUAAAGCUCUUUCGACGGGGAAGAUAAUGACGGUACCCGUAGAAGAAGCCCCGGCUAACUUCGUGCCAGCAGCCGCGGUAAUACGAAGGGGGCUAGCGUUGUUCGGAUUUACUGGGCGUAAAGCGUGCGUAGGCGGCUUGUCAAGUCAGAAGUGAAAGCCCGGGGCUCAACUCCGGAACUGCUUUUGAGACUGGCAGGCUUGAGUUCGGGAGAGGGUAGUGGAAUUCCCAGUGUAGAGGUGAAAUUCGUAGAUAUUGGGAAGAACACCGGUGG
rnacentral:rRNA from 1 species